rnacentral:rRNA from 1 species
AACGAACGCUGGCGGCAUGCCUAACACAUGCAAGUCGAACGAGACCUUCGGGUCUAGUGGCGCACGGGUGCGUAACGCGUGGGAAUCUGCCCUUGGGUUCGGAAUAACAGCGAGAAAUUGCUGCUAAUACCGGAUGAUGACGUAAGUCCAAAGAUUUAUCGCCCAAGGAUGAGCCCGCGUAGGAUUAGCUAGUUGGUGAGGUAAAGGCUCACCAAGGCGACGAUCCUUAGCUGGUCUGAGAGGAUGAUCAGCCACACUGGGACUGAGACACGGCCCAGACUCCUACGGGAGGCAGCAGUGGGGAAUAUUGGAUAAUGGGCGAAAGCCUGAUCCAGCAAUGCCGCGUGAGUGAUGAAGGCCUUAGGGUUGUAAAGCUCUUUUACCCGGGACGAUGAUGACGGUACCUGGAGAAUAAGCCCCGGCUAACUUCGUGCCAGCAGCCGCGGUAAU